AAAACAAGGACGAACGCUGGCGGCGUGCUUAACACAUGCAAGUUGAACGGGCAUACAUGGAAGCUUGCUGAAGUGUAUGUUAGUAGCGGACGGGUGAGUAAUGCAUGAGAAGCUGCCAUUGGGAGGGGGACAACAGUUGGAAACGGCUGCUAAUACCCCGUAUGCCGAAAGGUAAAAGGGAGCAAUCCGCCUGAUGAGGUGCUCAUGUCCUAUCAGCUGGUUGGUGGGGUAACGGCCUACCAAGGCGACGACGGGUAGCCGGCCUGAGAGGGUGAACGGCCACACUGGAACUGAGAUACGGUCCAGACUCCUACGGGAGGCAGCAGUGGGGAAUAUUGGGCAAUGGGGGAAACCCUGACCCAGCGACGCCGCGUGAGGGAAGACGGCCUUCGGGUUGUAAACCUCUUUUGUACGGGAAGAAGGAAGUGACGGUACUGUACGAAUAAGUCCCGGCUAACUACGUGCCAG
rnacentral:rRNA from 1 species